rnacentral:snoRNA from 1 species
ACGGAUGAUGACCUCGGCAGAACUGACGUCAGGAUGAUGAGGAUCUUGAGUGCUGACGA